GCUUCCAUCUUUUAUCCUAAUUCGAUUUGCUCGCCUUUAGUGAAAUUCCAGCUUGCACCAGCAACAUUACAUGGAUCCAGCUUCCUUUUAGUCUCACAUAUGAUAUUGUUGGUGGUAUGCUACAUCCGACAAGCGAAGACAAAGAUGGUCUGCUUUGGGUUCUUUACUCCAAAGGACAGUACACUUUCAAAAGCGCAUAUAAUCUGGUUGUCGAAACUAAUCAAGAAAAUUCUCAGACCAUUUGGAAACGUCCAUUUGUCGACGUACUUGAAGAUGGAAGGGUCCUACUAGCAUUGUCUAUUUCCUUUGGUUGGCAUAUCAAUACAGGUUGAAUACUAUGUUGAACACCAUUGGCAUCAUUAGACUGAUAAUGUUGCUUGUAGUGACUGUAAGGCUACAGUGAAAUCAAAUAUAG
rnacentral:lncRNA from 1 species